AUCGCUUCUUGGCCUUUUGAGUAGUAUCAAGUGUAAUAUCUAUUUUUAUCAGUUUAAUAUCAAAGAUGCCCUCUAUCCAAGGACAAUAUGCUAAAUGGGAUUUCGGAGCUCGGAAGUGGAAUCCAUCUAUCUACUGUGCAUACCAACCUGAUAUUUUAGUAUCUGCAGGAAUGAUACCCACACA
ensembl:snRNA U2 U2 spliceosomal RNA